UUGAUCCUGGCUCAGGAUGAACGCUAGCGGCAGGCUUAAUACAAGCAAGUCGAGGGGCAGCAGUCUUGUAGCAAUACAGAAGCUGGCGACCGGCAAACGGGUGCGGAACACGUACGCAACCUUCCUCUAACUGGAAGAUAGCCCACCGAAAGGUGGAUUAAUAUUCCAUAGUAUAUUGAAAAGGCAUCUUUUUGAUAUUAAAGCUCCGGCGGUUAGAGAUGGGCGUGCGUCUGAUUAGGUAGUUGGCGGGGUAACGGCCCACCAAGCCUACGAUCAGUAGCUGAUGUGAGAGCAUGAUCAGCCACACGGGCACUGAGACACGGGCCCGACUCCUACGGGAGGCAGCAGUAAGGAAUAUUGGUCAAUGGACGCAAGUCUGAACCAGCCAUGCCGCGUGGAGGAUGAAGGCCCUCUGGGUUGUAAACUUCUUUUCUUUGGGACGAAACCCCUGUUUCUACGGGGACUGACGGUACCAGAGGAAUAAGCACCGGCUAACUCCGUGCCAGCAGCCGCGGUAAUACGGAGGGUGCAAGCGUUAUCCGGAUUCACUGGGUUUAAAGGGAGCGUAGGUGGGCUUUUAAGUCAGUGGUGAAAUCUUUGGGCUUAACCCGAAAACUGCCAUUGAUACUAUUAGUCUUGAAUUCUCUGGAGGUAAGCGGAAUAUGUCAUGUAGCGGUGAAAUGCUUAGAUAUGACAUAGAACAC
rnacentral:rRNA from 1 species